rnacentral:rRNA from 1 species
AGCGAACGCUGGCGGCAGGCUUAACACAUGCAAGUCGAACGGUCCUUCGGGAUAGUGGCGGACGGGUGAGUAACACGUGGGAACGUACCCUUAGGUUCGGAACAACACAGGGAAACUUGUGCUAAUACCGGAUAAGCCCUUCGGGGGAAAGAUUUAUCGCCUUUGGAGCGGCCCGCGUCUGAUUAGCUUGUUGGUGAGGUAAUGGCUCACCAAGGCUACGAUCAGUAGCUGGUCUGAGAGGAUGGCCAGCCACACUGGGACUGAGACACGGCCCAGACUCCUGCGGGGGGAAGCGGGGGGGAUUCUUGCGCAAGGGGCAAAAGCCUGACGCAGCCAUGCCGCGUGGAUGAUGAAGUUCUUAGGAUUGUAAAAUCCUUUCCCCGGGGACGAUAAUGACGGUACCCGGAGAAGAAGCCCCGGCUAACUUCGUGCCAGCAGCCGCCGUAA